rnacentral:rRNA from 1 species
CGUAGGUGACCUGCGGAGGUCAUUACCGAGUGCGGGUCCUUUGGGCCCAACCUCCCUUCCGUGUCUAUUGUACCCUGUUGCUUCGGCGGGCCCGCCGCUUGUCGGCCGCCGGGGGGGCGCCUCUGCCCCCCGGGCCCGUGCCCGCCGGAGACCCCAACACGAACCCUGUCUGAAAGCGUGCAGUCUGAGUCGAUUGUUUGCGAUCAGUUAAAACUUUCAACAAUGGAUCUCUUGGUUCCGGCAUCGAUGAAGAACGCAGCGAAAUGCGAUAAGUAGUGUGAAUUGCAGAAUUCAGUGAAUCAUCGAAUCUUUGAACGCACAUUGCGCCCUUUGGUAUUCCAAAGGGCAUGCCUGUUCGAGCGUCAUUUGUACCCUCAAGCUUUGCUUGGUGUUGGGCGUCUUGUCUCUAGCUUUGCUGGAGACUCGCCUUAAAGUAAUUGGCAGCCGGCCUACUGGUUUCGGAGCGCAACACAAGUCGCACUCUCUAUCAGCAAAGGUCUAGCAUCCAUUAAGCCUUUUUUCAACUUUUGACCUCGGAUCUGGUAGGGAUACCCGCUGAACUUAAGCAUAUCAAUAAGCGGAGGA